GUGCUCGUUUCGGCAGCACAUAUACUAAAAAAUUGGAACGAUACAGGGAAGAUUAAUACGGUCCCUGCGCAAGGGUGACAUGCAAAUUCACGAAUCGUUCCAUAUUUUU
rnacentral:snRNA from 1 species